UCCGUAGGCGGGUUUAUAAGUCAGUGGUGAAAGUUUGCAGCUUAACUGUAAAAUUGCCAUUGAUACUGUAGAUCUUGAAUUAGUGUGAAGUGGUUAGAAUGUGUAGUGUAGCGGUGAAAUGCAUAGAUAUUACACAGAAUACCAAUUGCGAAGGCAGAUCACUAACACUAUAUUGACGCUGAGGGACGAAAGCGUGGGGAGCGAACAGGAUUAGAUACCCUGGUAGUCC
rnacentral:rRNA from 1 species